ACACAUCGAGUGUACAAAAAGACAACGUGACAUUUCAUCUAUUUCCAAAAGACCCUAUCCGUCGACAACAAUGGAUAAAAGCUUGUGAAAAUCACAGAACAUGGCUACCCAAACGUACAAGUAAAGUUUGCUCCGAUCAUUUUGAUACGUCAUGUUUCUUGUUGCUGGCUAACAACAAAAGAAAAUUAAAGGAAUCAGCAACAC